AUACUUACCUGACAGGGGCGAUGCCGUGAUCACAAAGGUGGUUCACCUGUGGUGCUGACCCUUGGGAAUUCCCCAAAUGCGGGAAUCUCGACUGCAUAAUUUAGGGGCAGUUGUGGGCUGGAGGUUAGGGAUCUGGCCCUGU
ensembl:snRNA U1 U1 spliceosomal RNA